CUCCGUCCGGGGGGCGGCCGCGGCCCGGUGCGUUCCGGCCGGGCCGGCGUGGAUGGCCUACCACGACAGGCUGUUCGAGGAGCAGCCGCCGGAGACC
rnacentral:tRNA from 1 species